rnacentral:snoRNA from 1 species
GGCCGAUGACGACACCACCGCUCCGAGGUGGGGUGGCUCCCGUCAGUGACGAGCCCUAUGAGUGCCGACUGGCC